rnacentral:rRNA from 1 species
GAUGAACGCUGGCGGCGUGCCUAAUACAUGCAAGUCGAGCGAACGGACGAGAAGCUUGCUUUUCUGAUGUUAGCGGCGGACGGGUGAGUAACACGUGGAUAACCUACCCAUAAGACUGGGAUAACUUCGGGAAACCGGAGCUAAUACCGGAUAAUAUUUUGAACCGCAUGGUUCAAAAGUGAAAGACGGUCUUGCUGUCACUUAUAGAUGGAUCCGCGCUGCAUUAGCUAGUUGGUAAGGUAACGGCUUACCAAGGCAACGAUGCAUAGCCGACCUGAGAGGGUGAUCGGCCACACUGGAACUGAGACACGGUCCAGACUCCUACGGGAGGCAGCAGUAGGGAAUCUUCCGCAAAGGGCGAAAGCCUGACGGAGCAACGCCGCGUGAGUGAUGAAGGUCUUCGGAUCGUAAAACUCUGUUAUUAGGGAAGAACAUAUGUGUAAGUAACUGUGCACAUCUUGACGGUACCUAAUCAGAAAGCCACGGCUAACUACGUG